rnacentral:rRNA from 1 species
CAGGGAAUCUUGCACAAUGGGCGAAAGCCUGAUGCAGCGACGCCGCGUGGGGGAUGAAGGCCUUAGGGUCGUAAACCCCUUUCAGCAGGGACGAAAAUGACGGUACCUGCAGAAGAAGCCCCGGCCAACUACGUGCCAGCAGCCGCGGUAAGACGUAGGGGGCGAGCGUUGUCCGGAUUUAUUGGGCGUAAAGAGCUCGUAGGCGGUUGCGUAAGUCGGAUGUGAAAACUCAGGGCUCAACCCUGAGACGCCAUCCGAUACUGCGCUGACUUGAAUCCAGUAGGGGAGUGUGGAAUUCCUGGUGUAGCGGUGAAAUGCGCAGAUAUCAGGAGGAACACCCGUGGCGAAGGCAGCACUCUGGGCUGGUAUUGACGCUGAGGAGCGAAAGCAUGGGUAGCGAACAGGAUUAGAUACCCUAGUAGUCCCUGAGCGGGCUGGCAAGGCGCAU